CAGCGUGGGGAGAAGUGUUAGCUGCUGUCAGGGAUGCCGUGGAAAAAUGAUGGAUUGGGCAGCUCCGGAGGGAGAGCUGCUGUUCUGGCAGUGAAAUGCCUCUUGGCUCGGCACACACACAACCUGGAGGUGCCUCACAGCCCGCACGGUGCCACCCCAGCUCCGGCUCUAGGAAUGCCAGGAGUUUUCCCUGGAAUUGGCCCAUCCAGACUCCCAGCAAGGAUCCCCCCGGGGAGAUUCACCUCGGAUGUGGAUUCUGUGAGUUCUGAGCAGCCACCCCAGCCGGGCUCUGCACCCGUCUUGGGCCAAAUCUUCUGCUUUUUGGCAAUAAAACCCCAAAAACUGAGCUGGUGAUUCCCUCUGGGGUGCCCCAGGGCUGAGCCAGGAUCUCAUUUUCUUCCUAAAGCAAGGUAAUUCCACGUUCUCCAUGGGCUCUGUUACAAAGCACAGGAGUGGGGUUAUUUUUUGUAUUUUUGGCAAUUAACAGCGGUCAUAAUAAUUUUUUCUGGUUAUUUGCAGGCAAACACCUGUCCUGUGUCAUAGGACAGCACUUCCCAACUGCAGGAAAUAGAUUUGUGGUGAACUUUUGGACUUUUACUUUGGAAAUAGUGAAC